GUCUGAAUAUAAAUGGGCUGGUAGAGCAGAAUUUUCCGUCUAUAAAAAGUAAAAUAACAGUGAAAUUAUUUUCUUCUCCUCACACAUGUUCCUAUGAUUUUCACCCAUAGGAAAUGUUAAGGAUUUAUCAGGCAGAAAAUUGUCAAAGGGAUGUGUCUGGUCAGUAUUAAGAAGCCACGGCUUUGCCACUUUCUCACAACUAUGGCUAACAUAUCGAAGGGGGAAAAAAAGCCCUUCAGGCUGCUCUCAGAGGGAACAAGAAAAGGCUACAUUGCUUCAAAAGCCUGGAGAGAAUUCCAGUCAAAUAGAGCUAGCUAUAGAGACAG
rnacentral:lncRNA from 1 species